ACUCAUUUAUAUUAGCUGUUUAUCCAACCUGUAUAUAUUUUUGAGCACCUUAGCAUUUUCUACAGAAUUUAUCAAAUCUGCUACAGAAAUGAAUUUACCUUGAGGGUUCUUAGCUUAGGUUUAUGUCAUACUUUGAUUUGAAUGAAGGCAAAUAAAUAUACCCUCAUUGUCACCUGUAGACUUAACCAUCUAUUGUGCAUUGCAAGGGCCACAGAAGAAAUAGAUCGACCUUCAUCUCAAU
rnacentral:lncRNA from 1 species